AUGGGGAUUCACCCCGGGCUGCGGCGGCAGCUAGUAGCAAAGCAGCAGGAGUCACCGGACUGCCGCCGGUCAACCAUCGACGGCCACACUACCGCCCUAAUCUUGCUUAUCACCGUCGUGGUCGACAACGCUUUCGGCGCCAGGAGCGCCGUCCAAUGGCACAGCUUCUGCCAGGGGCCGAUGACUGGCACGUCGCCGGCGGGCGGUAUCAAUGGCUUGAUGUCCACGUACUACUAUUAUGUGGCUGAUCACGCACGCUAUGACCGAGACUGCGCUGCAAAGUUCACCGGCGCCCAGGGAGGCGAGGCCGAUCCGACCGUGGGCGGCCACGCUUGCACCGCCAAGGGACGUGGUGUCCGCCACAGAAGUCGGGGGCUGUCCUCCGGGUAUCCUAAGAGCAUGUCCAACAGCUGCCGAACGCGCGGCGCGCUAAAAGUACUUUGCAGCACACCCAUCGUCUGGAAAAGCGCGGCGGGCGGCGCUGGCUCCAGCAGCUGCGCUAAAAUUUAG
rnacentral:rRNA from 1 species